rnacentral:rRNA from 1 species
UUAAGCGAAUAAGCGUACACGGUGGAUGCCUAGGCAAUCAGAGGCGAUGAAGGACGUGCUAAUCUGCGAAAAGCGUCGGUAAGGUGAUAUGAACCGUUAUACCCGACGAUAUCCGAAUGGGGAAACCCAGUAUCCAAUGGAUACUAUCAUUAACUGAAUCCAUAGGUUAAUGAGGCGAACCGGGAGAACUGAAACAUCUCAGUACCCCGAGGAAAAGAAAUCAACCGAGAUUCCCCUAGUAGCGGCGAGCGAACGGGGAGCAGCCCAGAGUCUUAAUCAAUAGCAGUGUCAGGAGAACGGUCUGGAAAGUCCGGCAGUAAAGGGUGAUAGCCCCGUAUCUGAAGAUGCUGUUAUUGUGAACUCGACGAGUAGGGCGGGACACGUGUUAUCCUGUCUGAAUAUGGGGGGACCAUCCUCCAAGGCUAAAUACUCCUGAUUGACCGAUAGUGAACCAGUACCGUGAGGGAAAGGCGAAAAGAACCCCGGCGAGGGGAGUGAAAAAGAACCUGAAACCGUG